GGAGAAAUGGCUCAGUGGUUAAGAGCACUGACUGCUCUUCCAGAGGACCCGGGUUCAAUUCCCGGCACCUACA
rnacentral:tRNA from 1 species